CGGCCCUGCGUCAGAGUGAGACCGAGAGGCUCCGAACUGGGCGACAGAGUCGCCUCGCGGAUCCGAGCGGCGGGGCACGAGCUCCCCGGCGCCGCACACACCUCCUCCCCUGGGGCGAGUCCCGGGCCGCAAGCAGGCCUGCCACGCGCGCACACACCCCGCAUGUCACCUCCCCGCGGCGCGCGGCGCUGAACCCGGCCCGGCGCGUGUCGGCGAAGGAGAGGUCGGACUCGGGAGCCGGCCCGGAGCUGCUCCCGGCGCCAGCUCCCGCUCCUCCUCCUGCUGCUCGCCGCUGCCGCCACCGCCGCGUGGAUGCCAAGUACCAGCUUUCCAGUCCCUUCCAAGUUUCCACUCGGCCCUCCGGCCGCAGUCUGCGGGAGCGGAGAAACUUUGCGGCCCGCGCCGCUCGCCGGCGGCACCAUGAAGGCGGCCGAGGAAGAACACUACAGUUAUGCGUCCCCUAGCGUCACCUCAACUCUGCCCCUUCCCACAGCACACUCCGCCUUGCCAGCGGCAUGCCAUGACCUCCAGACGUCCACCCCGGGCAUCUCAGCUGUUCCUUCGGCCAAUCACCCCUCUGGUUAUGGGGGCGCUGUGGACAGUGGGCCUUCAGGAUACUUCCUGUCCUCCGGCAACACGAGACCCAAUGGGGCCCCGACUCUCGAGAGUCCUCGAAUCGAGAUCACCUCCUAUCUGGGCCUUCACCACGGCAGCAACCAAUUUUUCCACGAUGUGGAGGUGGAAGACGUACUUCCUAGCUGCAAGCGGUCACCAUCUACAGCAACCCUGCACCUGCCCAGUCUGGAAGCCUACAGAGACCCCUCCUGCCUGAGCCCAGCCAGCAGCCUGUCCUCCAGGAGCUGUAACUCUGAGGCGUCCUCCUAUGAGUCCAACUAUUCAUACCCGUACGCAUCCCCCCAGACCUCUCCAUGGCAGUCACCCUGUGUGUCUCCCAAGACCACGGACCCAGAGGAGGGCUUUCCCCGAAGCCUGGGUGCCUGCCACUUGCUGGGAUCGCCAAGGCACUCCCCAUCCACCUCUCCUCGUGCAAGCGUCACCGAGGAGAGCUGGCUCGGUGCCCGUGGCUCCCGGCCCACAUCCCCCUGCAACAAGCGCAAAUACAGUCUCAACGGCAGGCAGCCCUCCUGCUCACCCCACCACUCGCCCACACCAUCCCCCCAUGGCUCCCCUCGGGUCAGCGUGACGGAAGACACCUGGCUUGGUAACACCACCCAGUACACCAGCUCUGCUAUUGUGGCAGCCAUCAACGCCCUGACCACUGAUAGCACUCUGGACCUGGGUGACGGUGUCCCUAUCAAGUCUCGAAAGACAGCCCUGGAGCACGUGCCCUCUGUGGCCCUCAAGGUAGAGCCGGCUGGGGAAGACCUGGGCACCACACCACCCACUUCUGACUUCCCACCCGAGGAGUUCGCCUUCCAGCACCUUCGGAAGGGUGCCUUUUGUGAGCAGUAUCUGUCGGUGCCACAGGCCUCGUAUCAGUGGGCAAAGCCCAAGUCUCUAUCCCCAACGUCAUACAUGAGCCCAUCCCUGCCUGCCCUUGACUGGCAGCUGCCGUCGCACUCUGGUCCGUAUGAACUCCGGAUCGAGGUGCAACCCAAGUCUCACCACAGGGCUCACUAUGAGACGGAAGGCAGCCGGGGAGCUGUGAAGGCUUCUGCUGGAGGACACCCUGUCGUGCAGCUACAUGGUUACUUGGAAAACGAGCCUCUCACGCUCCAGCUGUUCAUUGGGACGGCUGACGACCGCCUGCUACGGCCCCAUGCCUUCUACCAGGUCCACCGGAUCACGGGGAAGACUGUCUCCACCACCAGCCACGAGGCUAUCCUGUCCAACACCAAAGUCCUGGAGAUCCCACUGCUUCCAGAAAAUAACAUGCGAGCCAUCAUCGACUGUGCUGGGAUCCUGAAGCUCAGAAACUCUGAUAUCGAGCUGAGGAAAGGGGAGACAGACAUCGGGAGAAAGAACACCAGGGUGCGGCUGGUCUUCCGAGUCCACAUCCCCCAGCCCAGCGGCCGGACGCUGUCUCUCCAGGUGGCCUCAAACCCGAUCGAGUGCUCCCAGCGGUCGGCCCAGGAACUGCCCCUCGUGGAGAAGCAGAGCACAGACAGCUACCCGGUCAUUGGAGGGAAGAAGAUGGUGUUGUCUGGCCAUAACUUUCUGCAAGACUCCAAGGUCAUCUUCGUGGAGAAGGCCCCAGAUGGCCACCAUGUCUGGGAGAUGGAAGCGAAAACUGACCGAGACCUGUGCAAGCCAAAUUCCCUGGUGCUGGAGAUACCACCUUUCCGCAACCAGAGAAUAACCAGCCCCGUCCAAGUCAGCUUCUAUGUCUGCAACGGGAAGCGGAAGAGAAGCCAGUACCAGCAUUUCACGUACCUUCCUGCCAAUGUUCCAAUUAUAAAGACAGAACCCACGGACGACUUUGAGCCAGCUCUGACCUGUGGACCAAUGAGCCAGGGACUUAGCCCUCUGCCGAGGCCUUACUAUAGCCAACAACUCACCGCGCCUCCUGACCCUGGCUCCUGCCUUGUGGCCGGCUUUGCCCCCUGCUCACAGAGGAACACGCUGAUGCCCACGUCUCCCAAUGCAAGCCCAAAGCUCCACGACCUUUCCUCUCCCGCCUACGCCAAGGGCCUCGCCAACCCAGGCCACAGUGGUCACCUUGGACUUCAGCCACCAGCUUCAGAGGCCCCCACCAUGCAGGAAUUGCCGAGACCCAUGGCCGUCCAGCCCAACUCGCCUGAGCAGCCCACAUCCGUCAGGCUACAGCCGCAGGUGAGUCCACAUCUGAACAGUAGCUGUCCCCUUGGUCUCCAACAAGUGCUCUAUCCCAACAGCCCCUCCUCUCCACUUCCACCUGCUGCCCACGAGCCAACCUGCUUACAGCCCUCAGCUCUCCCUCCUGAUGUGGGCCACCGGCAGCAACAACCGCAGAAGGUUCACAGAAAUGAAUCUCCGUCCAUACUGCCAGAGGUGUGUGAGGACAGUGACCAUAACUUGGCCCCUGUUCCUGUAGUGAUCAAGCAAGAGCCUGAGGAAUUGGACCAGUUGUACCUGGAUGAUGUCUCUAUGCACCGUACUUCAAAGAGAAACAUCCUCAGAGGGUGUGAACCAACUUCGAUGGCAGACGUUCUCGUAGGAAGUGAGCCUCGGGGUCACAGAGUGUCCAGCUGGCUUAAGGACCGCUGUGGGAAGCUGGACAGAGGCGUGGACUCCUCAGCCUAGGUCUCGUGGUGUGAGCUGAUUGUGAGUUUUCGGAUUCUAGCCCUGGCGUCUCUGUUAUGUCACUUUGAUCGGCUGCAUGGAAUUUGGAAAAGCCCUUUACUGUGUUUGGUUUUAGUUUUGAAACAGGGCCGUUCCUUCCUUACAGAUUGUGGAGUGACCACCGACACUUGCCGGUGUCUGCCUCAGCAGCCUGGGGCCAACAAGGCUGAUACACAGGACAAUAGGCCAGGCAUCCAGACCCCCCUAGAGGUUAUCUAUCACCAAAAGCCUUUGUUCCCAAGCCACAGGCACAACAGGGACCAACCCCAGUCACUCCCUGGGAAGAGGGAGUCUUAUCAGUCCUGUUCCCACACUGUGAAGCCUUCUCAGAUGUAGGCUGUACCCUAUCAGGUCUUCCAGCUGCUGAUUCAGAUAUGGUAGAAGGCUGGGGUCUGGAAAACAUAGGAGACCUGGCUCAGGCUCCUCCCAGAGCAGGAUGGGGGUAAGGAGGGAAAACUCACAGCUGUGUCUGAUUCAGGGAAGUGGGAGUGGUUCCAGCCGAUGGGUGCUGGGUCCUUUGAUGAUAGCACAGGUCAUUGUGGCUGUGCUCUGAAGAGCCUAGGCUACAUUCACACUCAAAGACAGCUCUGCUCUGGCCCCUCCCCCCAGCCCAGGGCUCCUGCUUUCAAAGCCACUGGGUCCUUCAUGCCCCUUCUCUGUUUCUGCCGUAAAGUGGAUGGGUCUACGGUUCCAUCUCACUUGUCUCCACAAAUGACUUUACCAGGCUGUAAGUUCACCCAGCAAGGGCUGGAAAACCCAUGGCAGAGACUCAGGAGCAGAGUUCCUGCAGCGGAUCCUGGCAAGAGUGUUUGAGCUCUGGGAAGAGCCCUUCACCCAGAGACAGGGGCCUUCUUGCCAGAUGACAGGCUGACUUGGUGCUGUAUUCAACUGUGCUCUCAGCAGAGUGGAGGUUAGGGAAAGAGGGGUGUGUGUGUGUGUGUGUGUGUGUGUGUGUGUGUGUGUGUGUGUAUGUGUGUGUAUGAGUGUGUGUGCGUGCGUGCGUGUGUGUGAGUGUGUGUGUGUGUGAGUGUGUGUGUGUGUGUGUGUUGCAUGCUGUUUUCUGCCUUUGGCUAGGCUCCCUCCUUCCACAGCAUCAGACUCAGACUCUCCUACCUGCUCCCCUUCCCAUUUUUGUUCCACGGUAGCUGUUGCCAGCAAGCUGCAAACUACUGUAUAUCACUCUGGUUUAAGAACCUAAACUUUAAAACAAAUUAAACUCUUGUUGACAUUGUAAUAAAACUCAGAAUGAAGCGGAAUGGCUCGGUAAAAGUGAACUUCAAUUAUUUUUGUGGAUUUCGGGCUGUUUCCUGGGUUUCCUAGACUCCAGCAUAGAGAAGUUAUUUCCUCUUGGCAGAUGGCUGGAGAGACGGGAAAAAAAAAAGGUGAAGGAAUGGCUGGGUGAGGUGGCAGGCGCUGGCGAGGUCUGGGGAGGAAGCCGGUCUUGGUCACCUGGGUAUUUGCUCUGGCCCGAUCCAUAUUGUCUAGAGUUGGGGGGGACGGGGUGGGGCAAGGAGGAAGGAGCGAUGGAGGGUGAGGCUUUGGUGUGUUUUAACUGAAUAAAGGGGAUCGAAGUGUUUGUCAAAUCCUAUGUUAAUUAAGUGGUCAUGAGGAACUAAAAGAAGUUAAAGUCCACCUGCCCUUCUUGCCCAAACUCCAGCGAAGAGAUACAAUGGCUUCCUGCCUCUCCCCCUCUCUGUCUCUCUCUAUGGCUCUCUCUGAGUAUCUGUCUCUGAGUCUGUCUCUCUGUGUGUCUCUGUCUCUCUGUGUAUCUCUGUGUCUCUGUCUUUCUCUAUGUCUCUGUCUCUCUAUGUCCCUGUCUUUCUCUCAGUCUCUGUCUCUCUCUGAGUCACUGUCUCUCUGUGUCUCUGUAUCUCUCUGUGUCUCUGUGUCUCUGUCUCACUCCCUUUGCUUCUUUCCCUCUGUCUUGUCUCUGACUCUAUACCCCUUUCUCUCCUUGAAUCUCUUACUGUCUCUUAAUUGCUGUCUCUCUUUUCUCUCUCUGUUCCUAAUCUCUCUGAGUCUUGUCCUUCCUCUCUGUCUUUUCCUAUUUCUGUCUAUCCAUCCAUCCGUCUAUCUAUCUAUCUAUCUAUCUAUCUAUCUAUCUACCUAUCUAUCUUCACACCAUUUCUUUCAGCAUCAUAUUAACUGUAACGUUUGAUUGAUGGAUGGAUGGAUGGGUGGGUGGAUGGAUGAGUGGGUGGAUGGAUGGAUGGGUGGGUGGGUGGAUGGAUGGGUGGGUGGGUGGAUGGAUGGAUGGAUGGAAAAGUAUCUUUCUCCUGCUGCAUGGAAACAGUUCUUUCCCCAGGAUUGAGGGCCAGCUAUCCAUCCUUCAUGCUGUUUCCCAUUGUGGUCAUGCAGAACUAAAGUGCUGCACAGCUCAUGUGGAUGGAGGUCGGGAGAUUCAUUCAUUUAAAGAAAAUCUCUUGGGAGGUGUGGCUGGGAAGUGGUUCUUACCUGAGUUCCAAGCCAGAGGUGCUGGCCUCCACAGGAGACCCUUGUGGUCCCAUCCCCAGCAAGCCACUUCCUGUCCCCUCCUUCUGCUUCCUGUUUCUCUGCUUUCAAGGCCAAGCUGGAAAUGGGGUUCAUGACAUUUGGUUCAUAAUGUGCAAACGUUCCCGAGGCACCAGCCAUGGGCUCAGUUCCAUUCACAGCUGGUUCUGGGCCCAGGCUGCCACCUCUCCCAAAUCUAGGAGUUGGGCAGACAGGUAGCUGGCCAUGGAUCAAAGAUGGGCUUGCAGCUCAGUGAAUGCUCUGUGUACCCAUCUGUAAGCUAGGAGAAGGCUCCUGGCCUUACCUCAUGCUUUGCUCCCCACAGGAUCUGUGCAGACAUGUGUUCUCUUUGUGCAGCCUGAUGACCAGGACUAGAUUCGCUCAGAGAUCUCUGACAGAUCAUCUAACCGUGCUUCUGUAUGUGAACAGACCUUGACUUGGUGUCUCCUAUUGUAAAAGAAGGGAAAUGGAGACUGAGCUCCACAGGCCCUGACUCCUCUCCUGGAGUCUGUCUCCUUACAUGGUGGGGUAGUGGGUGCAGGGAGGAGAUGGCCUCACUUUCCCUGACUCCUUUACUUUGGGAUCCAUCUCUGUCUCCCAUGCCUCCUCACCCAGGAGUCCCUCUACCCAUAUUCAAAGUUUGUUUCCUCACUUGGGGGGCUCCUAUCUCCCCAGUCUCCUCAGAGAUCCGUCUUCUCAAUGAAUCUCAGCCAGGGCAACUAGACACUCACGGGGUGGCCUGUAGAAGCAUCUACCCUACCUAGGGCAAGGCAACCUACUCAGAAAGCCUCUCAGAAAACCUCUGGACCUCUGAGCAAGUCCAGGUAGCCUGAGAACUAAUCAUUUGCUAUCUGUAUGUUGGUCUUUAUUCUGAAGAUGUGUUUAAGGUUCUUCAGAUAUCAAAUUCAAGGGAGUGGGGAAUGCUAAAAAUCCAGAAUACUGCCCUUCAGGAGAAGUUCCAGAAAUGCAGACAGUACAUACCUGAUGGAGUGGCGAUUGACCAGCGUAAGCAGAUAGACGGAUUCCUAUCCCAAGCCUCAGGGAAGAAAGCAAGUGAGAUGAUGUGCUGUGGCCCUGACCUCACCCCUGCAGUCUCGUAAAUGAGAUCAUUCGUAACGACCUCUCCAGCACAAUCCCCCACUCCUAAUUCAGCACAUUGGAGCUGGCAGAAGCCGUGAGGAGCUGGCUCAGUGCAGACAACCACGCUUCAGCAAGCGAGACUUUGAUGAGAUAAACUGGACCCACAUCUGGUACCACUCAGAAAAUCCCAACUUACCGAACGAAUGCGGGGAGCUUGUGUCUGAAGAAACAGCUCUCCAAAACGACGGAGGAGCAGGAGAGGGGCCCACUGCACCUCUAGAAAGAAACACCAUUUCAAGGAAAGAGAAGGGCUGGCCAGUGAGGCCAGGGGCAGACACUGGCCCACUGUGUGGCAGAAUGACCCCAAACCUGACCCUCCUGCCCACUGGAUUAAAACACUGGAAGUGCCUUAUUUAGUCCAACCACCACACCAGGGCAUAUGGAAGUGUGCACUGAAUUUCCUACCACGAGAGUAUUCGUAGGAGCCAAAGCUAUUAAAGAACACUUCCUUGGGAGGCUCUCUCCUUUGUACUAAUCGAUUGGAUUCUGACGAGCUGUGGCCUCCCGCUUAUCUCUAACUUUUCUGGCUGUCCCACACAAUUCGCCUGCGUUAUCCAGUGCGCUCUAGAGGCCAUCCAGCCUGCCACCUUGGCACCUCUUUCAUAGUCAGCCCCCUCCUCUGUGUGACUGAAACCACAGGUUUGUCUGUAAUAGCAUGCUGGGGUUCUUGUUCUUGAUCCAGCUGCACUAUAGUGAAGGAAGUUGAACAGCCCAAGACAGGGUCCCGGACAGAACAAAGCCUGCCUGCCUGCGCUACAGGACAGAGCCUGUGUUUGCAUGCAUGUACAUAUAGGCAUAUAUUUAUGUAUAGAUGUCCAAGGACGGGGAUGGUGAUGGCCAGUCUGUGCCCAGCGGGGACUUCCGUGUUAGCAAUAACCAGUAUCCACCUUGAGAGUGCACCUCGGAGUCCAGACCCUGCCUUCCAUCACCUUCCACCAGGGUCCGUCACCUCUGGCAGGCAGGUGGCCUUUUCUUGUCUCGUGCAGUUACGGAGCACUCUAGAGCUGUGCCCAGAUGCCCAUCGGCUCCCAAAGGGCAGCAUCCGAAAGUGGUUAUGAGUAAGGAGUGUAAUAUAUCUGUCCGAUUAUGAGAUGAUUACUUCACAGCAGCCUUAUAGCUCUCUGCUUCAUCUAAGGAAACAAUUACCAAAAACGGUGUUUCUAUACGCGGUCUGUGGAUUGUGCGUUUUCAGAUUAGCUACUGGUAACGGACAGGCUGGUGUCGGCUUCGUGUAAUCAGCUGCUUAUUACAGUUAACUAGCAGUGACCUAUUAUUUCUUAUAACCAAAAUAAAAAAAAAAAAAAAAGCAUGGUUUAAUUAAAACAUGUUUAAUGAUGGUGCCUUAGGAGUUAAUGCCCCCUUAUGGAACAAGCCUGAAUUGCACCUGUGGGUGGAAGCCUCAAGUUACUCACAGACAGACGGGGGGGACUCAACGACAGGAAAAGCUCUCCCCGCAGGAAGACGCAUCUUCAAAAUGUCCGUCUGUACGAUGGUGGCUUACCUUUUCCAACUCACCAAAACAGACAAAUGUCCGAAAGCCAUAUCGAACGUUUUCACACGAUUGUGAAGAGCUGAGGCGUGCCUGCCUCGCGCGCACACACAGAACCUGGCCGCCUGCAGGCUGCCUCCCACCUGCCUGCUUCUUGUAUGUACCCCGUGUUUAUAAGCAUCAUGGAGUUGCAUGAACCAUCCUUAGUAGACUGUCAUGUGAAAGCAAGCGUUUGACAUUUGUGUCAGCUAUCUUCAUAGUUAGGGAAUGGAGCUAAUAAAACAGUAUUUUUUCUUUCUUUC